rnacentral:lncRNA from 1 species
CAGUCCUCGAGGCAGGCUGUGUCUGUGCUGGGUGCCAGGUCUAGGUCUUCUCUCUUCUGCAGAGUCGGGCUACACAGACCAGCUGUUCCAGUUCCUGCAGGCCACCGCCCAGGAAGAAGGGAUCUUUGAGUGUGCGGACCCAAAGCUUGCCAUCAGUGCUAUCUGGACCUUCAGAGACCUAGGGGUUCUGCAGCAGACGCCGAGCCCUGCAGGCCCCAGGCUCCACCUGUCCCCUACUUUUGCCAGCCAGGACAAUCAGGAAAAACUAGAACAGUUCAUCCGGCAGUUCAUUUGUAGCUAGAACUGUGAGGAGGAGCCUGUGCUGAGACUUCUCAGCCCCAGAACACAGCUGUGUCCUAGAGCCAGAAGAUGGAGAGGAGGCUGCAAACCCUUAGCUGCUCUAUAAAUAUAAUCAUUCGAGGCCUUGAUUG